rnacentral:rRNA from 1 species
UGGGGAAUAUUGGACAAUGGGCGCAAGCCUGAUCCAGCCAUGCCGCGUGGGUGAAGAAGGCCUUCAGGUUGUAAAGCCCUUUUGUUAGGAAAGAAAAGCAGUCAGUUAAUACCCGAUUGUUCUGACGGUACCCAAAGAAUAAGCACCGGCUAACUUCGUGCCAGCAGCCGCGGUAAUACGAAGGGUGCAAGCGUUACUCGGAAUUACUGGGCGUAAAGCGUGCGUAGGUGGUGGUUUAAGUCUGUUGUGAAAGCCCUGGGCUCAACCUGGGAAUUGCAGUGGAUACUAGGUCACUAGAGUGUGGUAGAGGGUAGCGGAAUUCCCGGUGUAGCAGUGAAAUGCGUAGAGAUCGGGAGGAACAUCCGUGGCGAAGGCGGCUACCUGGACCAACACUGACACUGAGGCACGAAAGCGUGGGGAGCAAACAGGAUUAGAUACCCUGGUAGUCCACGCCCUAAACGAUGCGAACUGGAUGUUGGGUGCAAUUUGGCACGCAGUAUCGAAGCUAACGCGUUAAGUUCGCCGCCUGGGGAGUACGGUCGCAAGACUG